rnacentral:rRNA from 1 species
UACGUAGGGUGCGAGCGUUGUCCGGAAUUAUUGGGCGUAAAGAGCUCGUAGGUGGUUUGUCGCGUUGUUCGUGAAAACUCGCAGCUCAACUGUGGGCGUGCGGGCGAUACGGGCAGACUAGAGUGCUGCAGGGGAGACUGGAAUUCCUGGUGUAGCGGUGGAAUGCGCAGAUAUCAGGAGGAACACCGGUGGCGAAGGCGGGUCUCUGGGCAGUAACUGACGCUGAGAAGCGAAAGCAUGGGGAGCGAACAGG